ACAAUAUAUAGAAAUUUUAAAUAAACAGAGAGUGAGAACAGACGAAUCUCUUUCUCUAUUUCAUCUCUUUAAAAUUAAGAAGCGAUCAUAUCUAAUUGAUAAUUAAUAACUAACAAAGAUAAAUGAAUCUGAAACAUUUAGAGCGGAAUAUUGUUACAUUUUGCGAAUCAAAGAGACAAAAGAGCGAGAUAAAUUACUUUAAUUCGCUUCGAGUUGAAAUAAAGGAACAGCAAGCAUUCUCUUAUCGGGGAGCGCGGUUUACCAUUUCGGUAAACUGUUGGAAAUCCGCGUUGAAUGCUUCGUUGUCCAAGUGCGCUCGGGAGGAAGGACAUAUCCUGUGAACCGAUGUCGUAUUUAUUCCUUCUUACGCAGAUAAAUCGGGGCAUGGCAACGUUUUCUCUCUUCUCGCGUGUAUACAUUAACUCUUCUAAAAUCUUGCGACUGCAUGUGCAAUGUAUAUAUUAACUUUUGGCUAAACUUUUGUGUGUAUUUAAACACUUGAGACUUUUAUAUUAUACAUUAUACGACUAUUAUAUCAUGUAUUUUUUUUUAUAUCAAAUGCGCUUUAUUAACAAAUCUUGCAGCUUUAUGUUUGAAAUAUUCAAGAAUUGUUUUUUCAUUAAAUUUAACAUAGGCUGAUUGAUGAUAUAUUCUAUUUUUACUUAUCGUUUCGUUUUCAUUUUACUCGAUGAACUUUAUGUAACAUCUGCCAAGCUCCGGUUUUAUCUCGCAAUCCCGUUAUAUUUUCUCCGCUCUUAUAUUUUAUUAUAUUUUUCUUCUGUCAAAAACUGGCCACAUGUCGCGAACGUGAUGUAGCUUUUUUAUGUCAUCGUCGCAUUUAUGUAAUCCGUCUUAAUCUGAGCAAACAUCCCGCAAAAGAAGCAAACAGCAAUUUAUUCGACCACGGAAUAAUAAGGAAGUCGCAGCCAUGCAGCCGUUCUUCCAUCUUCGAGGAGCUGCAUCUGUAAUCUCACCCUCGGAUGCUGCUGCUGGCAACACCCUUCCGCAUCUAUAACGCCCCUUACGUAUGUAAAUCAUCGGGAGAGGCGCCAGGACACUUUUGGUCUCGCUUCGAAUCCUGCGUAAAUAAGAUGCAUGUGUCCGCGACAGGAUGUCACGCAUAUUCGAUACAUUCUUAUUGAAAUGAUCGGUUUUAUGAACCGAGAAAAAUGUUAUUUAAUUUGACAAGAAGAGGAAAAUGAUAUGAUUUGUAUUCCACGCGAAUGCAGCUUUCGAGAUGACGUAAUUCGAUUUAUUGGCGCCACACAUCGGGCGAACUUCAGUUCGGUCACGAAUCGAAAUUCAAAAAGUCGAGCUUUUAUGCAUCCGUUCGAUACCGGAAAUGAAGGAAAUAAUGACCCUCCCGCGAGGGUGAUUUAGAGUGUCGUCAAUCGAGCCGAAUGGUUCGUGGAAUCGUUUUACGCCCUCGUUCUCCGAUGGGUGGGACGAGAAACGACGAUGCCUCGAGACAGCGAGAAAAAAGAAGAGAUGAGAAAAGAGCUCCGAAAUAAUUAACUGUAGGGACGACCUCAUUACGCGGCUUAAUGAGCUGCCAGCGGCGAGUUUGUGUCGCGAUGCUGCUGGAUACUUGUUCGAGUCUUCGGGGGAAAAAAGAAGAGGAAAACGUACGUGACGCCCUGGCAAAAGUAUUGCUUGUAUCGCGACAGUGAUUUAUCGAGACCAGAAUCGGCGCGAUCCGAUUUGUCAGUUUAACAAGACGCGCCUUGUCGACGCGUCCAGAAUGAGACAAUUAGUCGAGUCUCUUCGGAUGAUGGUUUACUCGAGUACUUCAGCCAUCAGCUUCCCUGCCGAUGGAUUUUCGCGCAUUUCUAUUUCUAUCCUCGGCGACGCCUCUCUUCGUCCACGUGGUUGCCCUAUCACCGGGAUUCGCACCGGAACCCCGGCACGGUGGUUCCUCGCACAGUAUUUACCCACGUUCGUCGUAGGAGAGUGCCAUAUAAUCCAGCGCGGAACGGUUUACUGCCGGCAUAAAACCUCGUCGUGGCAUACGAAUAAGCGCGCCAUCGCGGAAGAAGGAGGGGAAAGAGUUGGCCCUAUUCAGAUAUAAAUAUAUAUAUAUAUAUAUAUGUAUAUGCAAGUGGAGCACAACACACACACACACACACACACACACACGAGUUGCAAGGGCGCACACUUCCACUGGUACUAACGAUGGGCGAUUCAUCAUUCUCGCGGAGACCGAAAGGAGUAACAGAGAUUGUGGUAAUUUAAUAGGAAAAGACAGAGAACAGCUGUUUGUCUCAUCCCGACCGUUGCACUUUUUGGCGCGAUUCUAUUCUCUCAUCAAACUCCUCCUUUUCACCUCCAGUCACAAUGCAGAGCUGGAAGUCGAGUUUUAAUCUUCAUUCAUCGACCUGCACGAGAUUGAGUUUCAAUCUUCAUGCAUCGACCUGCUUCAGAUCGAAUUUUAAUCUUUAUUCAUCGACCUACUCAUAAAGAUGAUAAAACGAUACAUAAAUUCCCGAAGUGCAACAAAUGCGAAGAGUCUCGUAUUUCGACAAGAGAUAUAAAAGAGCAGAGAAGAGCCAACGAAGAAAUUGAAGAGGAGAAGUCGCAGAGAGAUAUUGUACGCGAUAAUUCUACGUGAGUUUCAAAAUAAAAGGGAAGCAGUGGCAUCGGAGUAACAGACACGAGAAAUGCCUUGAGACAGCGAAUCGAAUAAAAGAAACGUACGGCUCCUACAAUUCGGAAGCUGAGCGAGGAUGAAAAAUCAGUGAGAUGAGAGUUACGACGUGGCCAAAAAUAAGGGAGCCCGCACAGCAACGUAAAAAGUACAUUCCCGAGUAAGAAAGGGGGCAACAGGAGAGAGAGGAACAAAAAUACCGUACGGUGAUUCAACAUCUCCCGUAUUCUAAGAUCGUCGUAUAAAAUGGCGACUCGGCCAUUGCAGGAACAAGAGAGGGAAUUCUCGAAUAGCAACAGGUGCAACAUCUCUAACAGGUGUUUUAUCAUGGCGACUCUUGAAAGGAAGAUCAUCCAUGUUAUGAUACCUCAUCCUCUAUUGCAGCUCCCAUUUUCCCGUAGAAAACCUAUCAACUUCUGUCGGCCGCACAAAAA